rnacentral:lncRNA from 1 species
GCCAUGUCCAAUUUGACGAACAAGCUUUCCCAUUUUCUGAUACGGUAGACCGGCGUGACAACAACACUACCUCUACAGUCGACGUGCCGUUCUUCCCCUCCGGUGUGCAACGUGUCCAACUGCCUCCUCAUCAACUCUCUCCGCCGGUGACCCCAACACCGUCGUCGUCUCAGCCGUCGAAUACCUCUGUUGCUUCAUCACAGAUCCCACACGAUCGUGUUGUUGAUACAACAACUGGGCCUACUUCUUCACUUGAUACCAAUGCCACAAACAUCAUAGGCCCAUUAACGUCAUCUUCGGCCCAGCCCACACAUUCACUUCCACAACAACACAAUCGUGACGACUCAUCUCGCUCGUCCACC